UACGUAGGGCGCAAGCGUUGUCCGGAAUUAUUGGGCGUAAAGAGCUCGUAGGCGGCUUGUCACGUCGGGUGUGAAAGCUUGGGGCUUAACUCCAGGUCUGCAUUCGAUACGGGCAGGCUAGAGUUCGGUAGGGGAGACUGGAAUUCCUGGUGUAGCGGUGAAAUGCGCAGAUAUCAGGAGGAACACCGGUGGCGAAGGCGGGUCUCUGGGCCGAUACUGACGCUGAGGAGCGAAAGCGUGGGGAGCGAACAGG
rnacentral:rRNA from 1 species